UGCUGUACAGCUCAGUCCGUAAAUCAUGAGACUCUUAAUCUCAGGGUUGUGGGUUCAAGCCCCACGUUGGGCAA